UACGUAGGGUGCAGGCGUUAAUCGGAAUUACUGGGCGUAAAGCGUGCGCAGGCGGUCUUUUAAGUCAGAUGUGAAAUCCCCGGGCUCAACCUGGGAACUGCAUCUGAAACUGCUGGUCUUGAGUACUGGAGAGGGUGGCGGAAUUCCUGGUGUAGAGGUGAAAUUCGUAGAUAUCAGGAGGAACACCGGUGGCGAAGGCGGCCACCUGGACAGUAACUGACGCUGAGAUGCGAAAGCGUGGGGAGCAAACAGG
rnacentral:rRNA from 1 species